rnacentral:lncRNA from 1 species
GUCUCUGUAAGCUGACUAAUCUAUUCUAUUGCCGUGCAUGGCCGUUUAUUCUAGUCCAGCUAGCUAGAGUGACUCGCGUGGGUGCAGGGCGCAAGUGCGGAGGGGGCGCCCAAGAGGCUGACCUUCGACGAAAUCCAGAGCAAGACCUACAUGGAGGUGAAGGGUACCGGCACCGCGAACCAGUGCCCGACCAUCGACGGCGGCGUCGACUCCUUCCCCUUCAAGGCCGGCAAGUACGAGAUGAAGAAGUUCUGCCUGGAGCCCACCUCCUUCACCGUCAAGGCCGAGGGCAUCCAGAAGAACGAGCCACCGGCCUUCCAGAAGACCAAGCUCAUGACCCGUCUCACUUACACCCUUGACGAGAUGGAAGGCCCGCUCGAGGUCGGCGCCGACGGCACCCUCAAGUUCGAGGAGAAGGACGGCAUCGACUACGCGGCCGUCACAGUGCAGCUCCCCGGAGGCGAGCGCGUGCCGUUCCUCUUCACCGUCAAGCAGCUCGUCGCCACCGGCAAGCCGGAGAGCUUCAGCGGGCCCUUCCUCGUGCCCAGCUACAGGGGUUCCUCUUUCCUCGACCCAAAGGGCCGUGGUGGCUCUACUGGCUACGACAACGCGGUGGCGCUGCCCGCCGGAGGCAGAGGAGACGAGGAGGAGCUGGCCAAGGAGAACGUGAAGAACGCGUCCUCCUCCACGGGCAACAUCACCCUCAGCGUGACCAAGAGCAAGCCGGAGACCGGCGAGGUGAUAGGCGUCUUCGAGAGCGUGCAGCCGUCAGACAC